GCCGAGCCGAGCCGAGCCGAGCCGUGUCCUUCCUUCCCGUGCCGUGCCGGGGUCGGCCCGCCCCCCUCCGUACGGGGGCGGGCGUUUGUCGCCCUUGGCUCCGGCCGCCGCCUCCGCAAGAAACGGGGCGAGUGACGGGGGAAGUGCCCGUCGGGCGGGACGCGGCCGGGAGAACCGAAGGGUGAUGUCUAUGAGUGUGCCCUGCGUUACCCGCGCUCCUGUGACGGGCACCUCAGCGGCCGUCCUUGAGUAACUGCACCGCCGUAGACAAAAUCAUCGUUCUGAAACGUGGCUAAGAGCCGUCAGACACCACGUUCAGAUGACUCACCAGUAACUUGACUGCAAUGUAUGAAGCCUCAGCUCCACCAUAAGUCGUAGUUUUUGGAAAAAGCAUUAUGGAUGGACUAGAACUGCAGUCAGAAGAAGGAAGUUUGAUUGUGCUCACCACCCUCCGAUGUAUGCCCAGCCAGUCCCCAGGCAGUGAUCAGUGCCACUCCCUGGCCAACUGCCCCUCCCACCCACCCCCAGUUUUAUCAUUUAGCAUGAUUCCAUAUGGAGUGGGAUAUCCCUUGGGUCAACUGGAGUCAGCUGUCCUGGCUGUGUCCCCUUCCAACUUCUUGUGCACUUCCGGCCUCCUCCCUGGCAGGGCAGUAUGA